GCCGGGGUGGCGGAAUGGAAAACGCGCCAGCCAGUAUGGAAGGUGAGCAGAUGCUCUUGAAGGUUCGAUUCCUUCCCCCGGUACCA
rnacentral:tRNA from 1 species